rnacentral:lncRNA from 1 species
GUUUCUGCUUGUGCUGUAUAACUGUGUGGUGGAACACAAACCGCUCCAGCUUAAAAAUAACCCAUUCAUCUCAGCGGUCAAAACCGGACUUAGCUAGUCUCCAAAUUUGCCUACUUUAGGAACAUUAGGAAGUUAUUUAACCUAUUUGGGCUUUGUUUGUGUCGUCGUUUGGUUUUGUCUUAAAAUUGUGGUAAAAUACACAUAAAAUUUACCAUUCUUAAGUGUACAUUUCUGUAGCAUGAAGUACAUUCAGUAUUGUGCAUCAGCCAUCACCACCAAGCCAUUUCUGGAGCUC